rnacentral:misc_RNA from 1 species
AACAUCGCGCACCUGCGGGAACCUGCGGAGGGAUCAUUACUAGGUCUGUCGAAAAUUGAUUUUUAAAAAAAUCAAUUUCGACAAUCUUGAUCAUUCCCUAUGUGCACUUUCGAAAAUAAUGCUUUGGUAGACGAGAGUCUACCGAAAGUUUUUAACUAUGGCCUUAUUUUCUUGACUGAUGAAAUAAAAUUUGAAAUUAUAAAACAACUUUCAACAAUGGAUCUCAGAUCGGAAGAGCAC